rnacentral:tRNA from 1 species
GGAGGGGUGCCCGAGUGGUUAAAGGGGACGGACUGUAAAUCCGUUGGCUAGGCCUACGUUGGUUCGAAUCCAACCCCCUCCACCA